AUGCGCACGGGGCUGUUCCCGAAUGACAGCUGCACGACAUAACGGACAAACAGUCGGCACGGGAGCCGCUGCUAACGCAGAGAGACUUAAGUCUCAGAUUAAAGACUGGCCUUACUCGGAGGACGGUAUGAGGUAGAUAGUUAAAAAUCGGAACAAAACCAGCUUCGGAUGGAACAGACGGGCGCUGCCACCGUCAAAAUGGACCAGGAGUUUGAAGACAUUGACUCUAAAGGCCGGUGGCAGAAGCUUUACUCAGAAAUCAGGAAUCAGUCCCACGAGUGCUCUUACAAAGUGGCGAAGUAUCCAGAAAAUCGCAACCGAAACCGAUAUAGAGAUGUCAGUCCAUUCGAUCACAGUCGGGUCAGGCUGGAGAACACGGAAAACGACUACAUCAAUGCAAGUCUGGUGGUGAUGGAAGAUGCCCAGAGAAGUUACAUUUUAACACAGGGCCCCCUCAGGAACACUUGUGGCCACUUCUGGCUCAUGAUCUGGGAGCAGAAGACAAAGGCGGUCAUCAUGCUCAACAGGGUCAUAGAGAAAGGAUCGGAAAAGUGUGCCCAGUACUGGCCGACGGCAGAGGAGAGAGAGAUGGCCUUUAGAGACACGCGUUUCCUGGUCACACUGUUGUCAGAGGACACCAAGUCUUACUACACCACCAGAGUGCUGCAGCUCCAGAAUAUUAAUACGGGGGAGAAGAGAGAGAUCCAUCACUUUCACUACACCACGUGGCCCGACUUCGGCGUGCCCGAAUCUCCGGCGUCCUUCCUAAACUUCCUCUUUAAAGUGCGGGAAUCCGGAGCGUUGGGGAUGGAUCACGGACCGGCUGUGGUGCACUGCAGCGCCGGGAUCGGUCGCUCGGGGACGUUCUCCUUAGUAGACACGUGUCUCGUCCUUAUUGACAAAAGGAAAGACCCCUUAUCUGUGGACAUCAAAAACAUCCUGUUGAAGAUGAGGAAAUACCGCAUGGGUCUGAUCCAGACUCCCGAGCAGCUGCGCUUCUCCUACAUGGCUGUCCUUGAAGGAGCCAAAUUCAUCAUGGGGGACUCUUCUGUCCAGAACCGAUGGCGGGAAUUGUCCGAGGAAGAUCAGGAGCCGUCCUCGGAGUCUCCGCCCCCAUCGGAGCCUCAGCCCCGGUGUCCGCCGGAGCGCUACAACGGGACCCAGCGAGGAGGUCAGCAGGAGGAGGCAGAAGAUUACAGACAGGACAGCAAAGUACCCACACAGUCUUCCUGCAAGGAACAGGAGGUGGAAGGCAGCACAACACACAAACGACGCAGAGAAGACAGCAUCUCCAAAUCCGGCAGCACCAAAGCACCUCAAGGCAAGUCCAGGUCAACGGACUCGGAGAGAAAGAGAAAGAGUUUGGGGUGUAUUUGCUGCACAUGACAAGAGGCGUCCUGUCCGGUGGGGGGGGGGGCCAGCCCGUCUUUACUCCCCUCCGGGACAGAAACGACCACGAAGAGCACAUUUAGAGGAAGAACUUUACCUGCAGCUUGUGAAAAAGAUCACCCACUUAUGUACCUGGAGGGUGAAGCCCAGCGACUGCUAACCAGCUCUACGUGACUCCAGCUCUGGCAGCGAAGCCAGCCUCGGCAGGGAACUCCAGCCCCCCCCUUCCUCCUCCAGACCUCUGUGCUCUUCCUCCUCACGUUUAUUUUACCGUUUUAAUCCACCCAAGUACCGCGUUUUCAGCAGCACUCGCCUCUUUACUCCUAUCUGUAGCCUCGGCCAGAACCCGCCUCAGCUUUUUUCCCCCAAAUCCACUCCGAACUGUUUACAGAAGACACUUUGACAUUCACACAGGAGCUUUAACCCCUUUAACCCCCCCAACAUCUCACCUUAGCCUCUUUUUUAAAGCUGCUUUUCUCUUGUUUUGCUUUCGUUGUUUCCUUGCAUUCUGACCUCCCUUCAGACAGAGAGCAGGGGGGUAAGCAUUGCCAAUUUGUAAUGCUGUUCAUACGUGUAUUUUUGGAGAAACAAAAUCAUUUUUUCAGAGGCGUAAACAAGAGGUUCUAUUUUUUUAUGGAGAAAAAAAAAUCUACUUGAAGUUUUUAUGGUGACAUGGAGUUUGGUAUUAGACAAGUACUGCCUCCACCCACAAGUAAUAAAUACAGUGGCAUGAAAAUAUUUCAAUGAUGUACAUAGUACUCUUUUGUUUUUUGUUAUUUUUAAAAAAAGAUGUGUAUUAAAGAUAUUUUUUGCUUGUAAAGAAAACCGAAGAGCUUAUGUUACAGAUCUUAAUGCUGCAGAAAACUCAUGACUUGUUCUUUUGAAAUUAAUUUGUCUUAAGUUUAUUUUGUGUAAACUGAAAAUAAAACUGGUAUUUAGUUUACCUACCUAUCUG